GUCGAAUGGCAUUAAUAAAUUCUUCAGUCUAUCCUCUCUCUCUCUCUCUCUCUCUCUCUCUCUCUCCCACCCAAGAAUCGUUGAGCAGCUUUGGCACGUUUUGCUCAGGCAUUCCUUUGUCUUUGAAUGGCAUUUCACGGCAGGAACGAUACCGGAGUCCAAUGGAUCCAUCUAUUACAACUUUUGUCUCUAAUCUUUCUACAAGUAGUCUCAUCUUGCUCGGUCUGUGUAUCAUCAUAGCUGUUUCUUCCAUGCAAGUUGCUAGCUAGUCUGUGGAAGGUCUUGUGAAAAUUCUUGAUGAUGGUUGAUCUAGAUAAUAAUAAUAAAAAGUGCACAGGAUACUUACCAGAAAGCUAAAAUGCACAGUUUCAUUCUCAUUGCAUAACCAAAGUACGAUCAUGUUGAUCACCCAUCCUCCUAGUGAGGUUUUGAUUAUUUAUCCGCACUUGUAAGCUUGUUGUUAAUUUUCGUUUGUAUAUAAGGAAUGAAAUACAUUGUUCCCUACAUGUCAAAAUUCGAUUCUCGUCCG
rnacentral:lncRNA from 1 species